rnacentral:lncRNA from 1 species
AUUAAUUAUGCCAGGCAGGGGUGAGCCCUGAGACUGCUGGGCAAAAUGCUGAGAAGCCAAAGCUAAUGAGAAGGGACCACAGUGCCUUAGCGUCCGCCCCAUCAGGGCUGUGAACUAGAAAAGCCAGAGCCCUUUCCAGCAGUGGAAUGAGGACAGCCACGGUGCAGGCACUUUAAGAGGCUGAUCUAACAAAGGAGACAAGAAGAGAAGAAAGGGCAACAGGACAGAAACUGCUGGGGGGGGGGGGCAAUCAAUGACCUAAGGGCAGAGUGACUGCACCUCCUGGCCCAGGCACGGCAUGAAGACUUGAGGUGAAAACUGAAGUCAUGCCAGAAAGCAAACAAGCAGGCGUGAUGUUACAGCCCACUGCACAGAUG